GACGAACGCUGGCGGCGUGCUUAACACAUGCAAGUCGUACGGUAAGGCCCUUUCGGGGGUACACGAGUGGCGAACGGGUGAGUAACACGUGAGUAACCUGCCCACAACUUUGGGAUAACGCUAGGAAACUGGUGCUAAUACUGGAUAUGUGCUCCUGCUGCAUGGUGGGGGUUGGAAAGCUCCGGCGGUUGUGGAUGGACUCGCGGCCUAUCAGCUUGUUGGUGGGGUAGUGGCCUACCAAGGCGGCGACGGGUAGCCGGCCUGAGAGGGUGACCGGCCACAUUGGAACUGAGAUACGGCCCAGACUCCUACGGGAGGCAGCAGUGGGGAAUAUUGCACAAGGGGCGCAAGCCUGAUGCAGCAACGCCGCGUGCGGGAUGACGGCCUUCGGGUUGUAAACCGCUUUCAGCAGGGACGAAGCUUUUUGUGACGGUACCUGCAGAAGAAGCACCGGCUAACUACGUG
rnacentral:rRNA from 1 species